AGCGUACACGGUGGAUGCCCUGGCAGUCAGAGGCGAUGAAGGACGUGCUAAUCUGCGAUAAGCGUCGGUAAGGUGAUAUGAACCGUUAUAACCGGCGAUUUCCGAAUGGGGAAACCCAGUGUGUUUCGACACACUAUCAUUAACUGAAUCCAUAGGUUAAUGAGGCGAACCGGGGGAACUGAAACAUCUAAGUACCCCGAGGAAAAGAAAUCAACCGAGAUUCCCCCAGUAGCGGCGAGCGAACGGGGAGCAGCCCAGAGCCUGAAUCAGUGUGUGUGUUAGUGGAAGCGUCUGGAAAGGCGCGCGAUACAGGGUGACAGCCCCGUACACAAAAAUGCACAUACUGUGAGCUCGAUGAGUAGGGCGGGACACGUGGUAUCCUGUCUGAAUAUGGGGGGACCAUCCUCCAAGGCUAAAUACUCCUGACUGACCGAUAGUGAACCAGUACCGUGAGGGAAAGGCGAAAAGAACCCCGGCGAGGGGAGUGAAAAAGAACCUGAAACCGUGUACGUACAAGCAGUGGGAGCCUCUUUAUGGGGUGACUGCGUACCUUUUGUAUAAUGGGUCAGCGACUUAUAUUCUGUAGCAAGGUUAACCGAAUAGGGGAGCCGAAGGGAAACCGAGUCUUAACUGGGCGUUAAGUUGCAGGGUAUAGACCCGAAACCCGGUGAUCUAGCCAUGGGCAGGUUGAAGGUUGGGUAACACUAACUGGAGGACCGAACCGACUAAUGUUGAAAAAUUAGCGGAUGACUUGUGGCUGGGGGUGAAAGGCCAAUCAAACCGGGAGAUAGCUGGUUCUCCCCGAAAGCUAUUUAGGUAGCGCCUCGUGAAUUCAUCUCCGGGGGUAGAGCACUGUUUCGGCAAGGGGGUCAUCCCGACUUACCAACCCGAUGCAAACUGCGAAUACCGGAGAAUGUUAUCACGGGAGACACACGGCGGGUGCUAACGUCCGUCGUGAAGAGGGAAACAACCCAGACCGCCAGCUAAGGUCCCAAAGUCAUGGUUAAGUGGGAAACGAUGUGGGAAGGCCCAGACAGCCAGGAUGUUGGCUUAGAAGCAGCCAUCAUUUAAAGAAAGCGUAAUAGCUCACUGGUCGAGUCGGCCUGCGCGGAAGAUGUAACGGGGCUAAACCAUGCACCGAAGCUGCGGCAGCGACACUAUGUGUUGUUGGGUAGGGGAGCGUUCUGUAAGCCUGUGAAGGUGUGCUGUGAGGUAUGCUGGAGGUAUCAGAAGUGCGAAUGCUGACAUAAGUAACGAUAAAGCGGGUGAAAAGCCCGCUCGCCGGAAGACCAAGGGUUCCUGUCCAACGUUAAUCGGGGCAGGGUGAGUCGACCCCUAAGGCGAGGCCGAAAGGCGUAGUCGAUGGGAAACAGGUUAAUAUUCCUGUACUUGGUGUUACUGCGAAGGGGGGACGGAGAAGGCUAUGUUGGCCGGGCGACGGUUGUCCCGGUUUAAGCGUGUAGGCUGGUUUUCCAGGCAAAUCCGGAAAAUCAAGGCUGAGGCGUGAUGACGAGGCACUACGGUGCUGAAGCAACAAAUGCCCUGCUUCCAGGAAAAGCCUCUAAGCAUCAGGUAACAUCAAAUCGUACCCCAAACCGACACAGGUGGUCAGGUAGAGAAUACCAAGGCGCUUGAGAGAACUCGGGUGAAGGAACUAGGCAAAAUGGUGCCGUAACUUCGGGAGAAGGCACGCUGAUAUGUAGGUGAAGUCCCUUGCGGAUGGAGCUGAAAUCAGUCGAAGAUACCAGCUGGCUGCAACUGUUUAUUAAAAACACAGCACUGUGCAAACACGAAAGUGGACGUAUACGGUGUGACGCCUGCCCGGUGCCGGAAGGUUAAUUGAUGGGGUUAGCGGUAACGCGAAGCUCUUGAUCGAAGCCCCGGUAAACGGCGGCCGUAACUAUAACGGUCCUAAGGUAGCGAAAUUCCUUGUCGGGUAAGUUCCGACCUGCACGAAUGGCGUAAUGAUGGCCAGGCUGUCUCCACCCGAGACUCAGUGAAAUUGAACUCGCUGUGAAGAUGCAGUGUACCCGCGGCAAGACGGAAAGACCCCGUGAACCUUUACUAUAGCUUGACACUGAACAUUGAGCCUUGAUGUGUAGGAUAGGUGGGAGGCUUUGAAGUGUGGACGCCAGUCUGCAUGGAGCCGACCUUGAAAUACCACCCUUUAAUGUUUGAUGUUCUAACGUUGGCCCCUGAUCGGGGUUGCGGACAGUGUCUGGUGGGUAGUUUGACUGGGGCGGUCUCCUCCUAAAGAGUAACGGAGGAGCACGAAGGUUGGCUAAUCCUGGUCGGACAUCAGGAGGUUAGUGCAAUGGCAUAAGCCAGCUUGACUGCGAGCGUGACGGCGCGAGCAGGUGCGAAAGCAGGUCAUAGUGAUCCGGUGGUUCUGAAUGGAAGGGCCAUCGCUCAACGGAUAAAAGGUACUCCGGGGAUAACAGGCUGAUACCGCCCAAGAGUUCAUAUCGACGGCGGUGUUUGGCACCUCGAUGUCGGCUCAUCACAUCCUGGGGCUGAAGUAGGUCCCAAGGGUAUGGCUGUUCGCCAUUUAAAGUGGUACGCGAGCUGGGUUUAGAACGUCGUGAGACAGUUCGGUCCCUAUCUGCCGUGGGCGCUGGAGAACUGAGGGGGGCUGCUCCUAGUACGAGAGGACCGGAGUGGACGCAUCACUGGUGUUCGGGUUGUCAUGCCAAUGGCACUGCCCGGUAGCUAAAUGCGGAAGAGAUAAGUGCUGAAAGCAUCUAAGCACGAAACUUGCCCCGAGAUGAGUUCUCCCUGACUCCUUGA
rnacentral:rRNA from 1 species